GGGCCAUAAAAGGAGGGAGACAAUCCCACUCCAGCCCCCACUCCAGACUGUGAAAAGAUCUCCAGGGCAGGUCAUUUAGGAAAAAGCCUUACCACUUCCUGGAGUCUACACAUGAAACAUCUGAAGAUGCCGAAGUGUCUCUUACCUCCACCCCAUUCACUCACUCCUCAGACUAGCAUUCCACCAGGAGCCACCCCAGCCAGAAAGGUCUCUGUGUCCAUCUGCCUGCUUGGCACUGCGGGCAGCAGAUGGGGGCCAGCGAACCAUCUUGGAAGAGGUGCACGGAGAAGGACAAGGCCGGCCUCCCCUCACCAGCUGUUAAGGGGCUCGCCAAUUAAGUGGCUGCUUAGGGCUUUCAGAACC